rnacentral:lncRNA from 1 species
AUUAAAAAAAAAUUGCAAUGGGACUCCUCACAACAUGCUUCUCAGAUACCCACUUGAAGCUUCCCUCGCCAUAUUAGUUUUUCCAAUAUCUCAACUUGAGCUUAAUGAAAAGAUCUUCUUCUCCUUCAUAUCGGUGAAUUCUAGCUUUGUUGGUGACACGCUUGCCUUCACCUCUCUGGGCAUGUAAAUUUCCAGUGUAGCUUGAAGUUGCUUCUCCCACAUCAGUGACAAUCCGGUCCAUAACAAGCUUGCCAGCACUUGCCCUUACUGUUGCAGCGUCAAAUUUAAAAAAAAACGGAAGUACUGCCUCCCUAAGUAUGCGUUUGUUUCGUGGAUUAGGUGGGUUCCAUCCCUAUUUUACAUGAUGAGUUGAUUCUAUUUUUCUGUUUGGUUGGAGGAAUGUAUUGAAACCCUGUUUUUUUUGUUUGGUUAGAGGACUGAGAUGGGAUGGAGUGAACCUAUCAUCUGUUUGGUUCGAAAGAUGAACUUGAGAUGGUCGGAUGUGAUUACCUCCUCAUAAUAAGUUGGUAAG